rnacentral:rRNA from 1 species
AUUGAACGCUGGCGGCAGGCCUAACACAUGCAAGUCGAGCGAGCGGCGGACGGGUGAGUAAUGUAUGGGGAACUGCCCGAUGGAGGGGGAUAACUACUGGAAACGGUGGCUAAUACCGCAUACUGUCGGAUGUACCCAGAUGGGAUUAGCUAGUAGGUGGGGUAACGGCUGACCUAGGCGACGAUCCCUAGCUGGUCUGUGAGGAUGACCAGCCACACUGGGACUGAGACACGGUCCAGACUCCUACGGGAGGCAGCAGUGGGGAAUAUUGCACAAUGGGCGCAAGCCUGAUGCAGCCAUGCCGCGUGUGUGAAGAAGGCCUUAGGAUUGUAAAGUACUUUCAGUUGGGAGGCGUUACCGACAGAAGAAGCACCGGCUAACUCCGUGCCAGCCGCCGCGGUAAUUC